GAUGAACGCUGGCGGCGUGCCUAAUACAUGCCAGUCGAGCGAACGGACGAGAAGCUUGCUUCUCUGAUGUUAGCGGCGGACGGGUGAGUAACACGUGGAUAACCUACCUAUAAGACUGGGAUAACUUCGGGAAACCGUAGCUAAUACCGGAUAAUAUUUUGAACCGCAUGGUUCAAAAGUGAAAGACGGUCUUGCUGUCACUUAUAGAUGGAUCCGCGCUGCAUUAGCUAGUUGGUAAGGUAACGGCUUACCAAGGCAACGAUGCAUAGCCGACCUGAGAGGGUGAUCGGCCACACUGGAACUGAGACACGGUCCAGACUCCUACGGGAGGCAGCAGUAGGGAAUCUUCCGCAAUGGGCGAGAGCCUGACGGAGCAACGCCGCGUGAGUGAUGAAGGUCUUCGGAUCGUAAAACUCUGUUAUUAGGGAAGAACAUAUGUGUAAGUAACUGUGCACAUCUUGACGGUACCUAAUCAGAAAGCCACGGCUAACUACGUG
rnacentral:rRNA from 1 species